GCAAUCUGUCGGCUCCUUGCUGGUAGCCAAGCAGGUUUGCUAAAUUAAAAAAGAAGGGGAAAACCUCUUCUUCUUUCAGCCCUCUGGGAUCAGAAGCAGGGGAACCCUGCCUGCAUACAGCCCAUUGAAAUGCAAACCCCUCAAAGAUGCUGCCAGCCUUUGCAGUGCUGUGCGGAUUAAGGAGCAGGCAUGGAGAUGUCGUGGAUUCUGGCUGAAACACAAUGGCAAUGAGAAAAACUGGCAUGAAUGGAGAAUCAAAGCAAGACGCUCAACAUGCUGGUUUUGUUUGUUUGUUCACCUGCUUGUGAGUCAGCGGUGGAAAAAGCAAGUCCAGUGCUAGAAGGUGGUCACCUUAUUUGCCUGUGACUCUGUGGCCCCAAGUUCUAUUCAUCUCGGAUAAACAAUCGAGCGCGCCCAGCUGCGAUGCUCCCAGACAGUGCUGGACGCCAGGGCCACCGGCUCCCUUCCCGAGGGCAGCUGCACACAAGACCGUCAACAGUGAGGAAAGUGACACCGGUACAUUAAAGGCAGGAAAGUCCCCCUCUCCCGCCGGUCCUCUGAUGAUAAUCCAGCCUAUCUGUCACCUAGAGUGUGUGCGUUCUCCUUCACAGACACAAGUAGGAGCCCAGGCUGCCCCUGCCAGCCCUACCCAUCCAGAUCUCAGCAUCCCACUCCGACCUCCUUUCAACCUGACCCACAGUGUAUCCACAGUGGACCCUGACAAGCAGAACUGAAGCACAGGGGUGUGUGCCCAUCACUCCAGAACAAAGCCUCCUUAACAAGAGCUACAUAAAUCUGGGUUCUGCAGGGAUGGGAAGUGAGAUGCCUUUCAAAUGAACCCCAGAAUGCCUACAGAUGACCUCUUCUCUGUCCUGCAGUGGUGGAGGGAUUUCCUAAGCCCCAAGAGAGCAAUUAAGUCAAACGAUUACGAAGAAUCCGAAACACUUCCCGCUGCAAAGUAGAAGUAAAUUAGACACAAACCAAAUUGGAAACAGAAAUGUAUAUUGCACUGCAAAAUGUGACUUCAGAUGCACUGAACCACACAAGAAAAUCAAUCAAAUUGCUUUAGAAUCCCAUCUUCUGGUACUGCCUUGUUUCAUAAUCCCAAAGAGUCUAACACAAGUUGAUCAUUAUGAAACUGACUUAAAAAGAAAAGACUUUUGACUAUUUCCAAAAUUUGCAUCAGCCUUUAAUAGAAGAAGGUCUGCCACUGCUAACGGUAUUCAAAAGAAUGUGCUGUGAGUCCUUAAAUUAACUCCAAAGAGACAGUCCAAAAAUGUUUUAGGAAAGGCAUCAUCACUGAAAUAAAUGAAUGGUUUCCCAAUGUGACCA
rnacentral:lncRNA from 1 species